rnacentral:rRNA from 1 species
UACGUAGGGUGCAAGCGUUAAUCGGAAUUACUGGGCGUAAAGCGUGCGCAGGCGGUUGUGCAAGACAGAUGUGAAAUCCCUGGGCUCAACCUGGGAAUGGCAUUUGUGACUGCACGGCUAGAGUGUGUCAGAGGGGGGUAGAAUUCCACGUGUAGCAGUGAAAUGCGUAGAUAUGUGGAGGAAUACCGAUGGCGAAGGCAGCCCCCUGGGAUAACACUGACGCUCAUGCACGAAAGCGUGGGGAGCAAACAGG